GUUGUACUUUUGGGUGACUAUUGUGAAAGGCAUUGUUUCUCUGAUUUCUUUCUCAUCUGUUUAUCAUUUAUAUGUAGGAAUUGUAUAUAGUAAGGCUACUGAUUUUUUGUGUUAGUUUUUUAUCCUGGUACUUUGCAGAAAGUUUUAUCAUCUGUACAAAUUUCCUGGCGGAGUUUUAGGGUCUGUUACAUAUAAAACCAUUUCAUCUGCAAAUAAAGAUACUUUGACUUCUUCCCUUCCUAUUUAUAUCCCCUGGAUCUCCUUCAGUUUUCUUAUCGCUGUAGCUAAGACUUCAAGAACUAUCUUGAGUAUGUAUGGAGAUAGUAGAUAUCCUUGUGUUGUUCCUGAUUUUAGUAGACAUGCUCUGAAUUUCUGUUUAGGAUGAUGUCAGAUGUGCGCUAGCUGUAAAGUGCCUUUAUUAUGUUGAGGUUCAGUGAUCAUCAUGGAAGAAAAGGACAGAAAGAUUGUAAGAGUCAGAGGAGUGUAUUAAUGCAGCAAAAUGGUGUUUUCUGGAAAUGACAAGGGAGCUUCACACAUCAACUCAUGUGGUGAUAUCUUGUUUAUGAACUAAUAAUACUUGUCUGAAGAUUACAAUAUAAAGGUAGUCACAGCUACAGAAGCUUGGCAAUGAUGGCACACACCUCUAAUCCCAGGACUCAUGAGACAGAGGCAGAUAGAUCUCUGUGAGUUUAAGGCAACUCAGGGCAACAUAAGAGUGAAUCAGUCUAAAAGAGAAACAGAGCUCACACCUUUAAUCCCAGCACUGGAGAGGUAUAUAAGACAGGAGCAGGGUUUCAUAUUCUGGCACUUAGUCUACAGCCAUGUUGAGGAUAGAAUCUCUCCAGCCUUGGGAGAGGUCAGAACUCUCUGGUGGCUUGGGUGCUUUGCUUUUCUGAUCCUCAGCUUGAACCCUACUAUCUAUCUCUGGAUUUGUGUUAUUCAUGCUCACAACAGCUGUGACGACAAUCAGAGCAGCAACACAAGAUCAAGCCAGACAAAUUCCAACAUGGAUUGAGGAGGGCGUCACAAAGUCCCAUCCCUAGCCAAGGAGCUAUUAGCAAUAUAUGGACACUGGAGGGGGAGUCAGCAUUCUUCAGGGAUGGGACCCAUGGGAGGCUAUGCAGCCUCCAGUAGAUUUCCUCCCAUCCCUGCAAAUACUGGCAACACUAAGUGGGCAUAGUGGGUUAAAAAAAUAAAAAGAACAUACAAGGUUGUUGAGGAAACUGUAUCAUCAGCCUUUGACAUUAUUUAACUAUUUCUUUCUCUCUGAAACCUUCGUUUAACUGGCUUUCUUGGGUACCAAAUCACUGGUUGCUUUGUCUCGGACUCUAUUCACUUUCUCCUGCCUGUCUCUUGCCUCUAUGUGGCAGUACACUUCUGGGAUCAUUUUUCAGUCUUUGUUUAUGCGCUCUUACAAAUUGAUGAUUUCACAUCUCUCAAAGCCUUCACUAUUAGCUGAACCUUCAUGUCUUGCAAAUUUAUAUCCUUAGUUUCAGCUUCAUUUCUGAAUUUUAGGGUACCCCUAGAUUCCAAAUAUUCAG
rnacentral:lncRNA from 1 species